rnacentral:piRNA from 1 species
UGACCUUUAGAGCCAUACCCUCAGAUC